rnacentral:rRNA from 1 species
AACGAACGCUGGCGGCAGGCCUAACACAUGCAAGUCGAACGCUCCGCAAGGGGAGUGGCGCACGGGUGAGUAACACGUGGGAACCUACCUUCUGGUACGGAACAACCAAGGGAAACUUUGGCUAAGACCGUAUACGACCUCCGGGUGAAAGAUUGAUCGCCGGAAGAGGGGCCCGCGUCCGAUUAGGUAGUUGGUGAGGUAACGGCUCACCAAGCCUUCGAUCGGUAGCUGGUCUGAGAGGAUGACCAGCCACACUGGGACUGAGACACGGCCCAGACUCCUACGGGAGGCAGCAGUGGGGAAUAUUGGACAAUGGGCGCAAGCCUGAUCCAGCCAUGCCGCGUGAGUGAAGAAGGCC